ensembl:lncRNA
AACAUCUUAGUAUGGCAGAAACUUCAUCAGGAUGUGAUUCGUAAGGAAGUAAAUGCUUGGGCUUGCUUACUUUUGAAACAGCAAACUUCACAAAGAAUAAUGAUUCAUGAAUAGGAAGUUACUUACUUUAAUUAUGUUGAAACAAGAAAAUACCUGGAUGCGUCAACUAUGUUUACAAAACUGCUUAGUUCUAGUCUAUUGAUUCUAUGUGAACUCAGGAGAAUGACUGAUGGUCUCUCCUAUCCUGGCUGUGGGAUACCUUCUUACAUGAGCUCUGUUAAACUAAAUGUGCAUUUUCUGUUAUCCAUUUCAGGCAUUCCAUCAUGAAGUUUCUCUUCAGGAGCAGAAGUUCAAACUAUUCAGCACCCCUUCUUUUACAUGACCUACUUUAAAUCUGUUACAAUGCAGCAUGCUCGAAGAGGACAAUGUUACUGUUGUUGGUUCUAACAUGUCAAAACAACAGUCUUGAACUUGUGUCUAAAGAUGUGGUGUCACUUUCUUGGCAACAGAGCAGAGAUCAAGCAGCUCGCUGACCUCACACAGACUCAUCAUCCUGACUUCUAGUCUUCCCAUAAAUGGAUAUAUGCCUUGCCUGCAGAGAAGUAAGAAUCUUCAUUAGCUGGAGAGCUGCCCUAAGGAAAGGGAGUGGUGUGUGUGUGCACAUACACAUGUACUUGUCAUACAGCUGCUGUUCAUGGAGUUUUCUUCAUUUUCUCCAAGUCACAUCUUCAAACUGGAUAGAAAGGCAGAGAACUUUCAUCAGCUUUUCAAGAGUUGCUGCAAUGCUUCCCACUAUACUUCUCCAGCUAUCAAAUGCUCCUCUUCGUGAUGACUCCUUCUGCCAUGACGUCUACCGAGAAUGGUGAAUAAUAUUUGCAAAGACAAAAGAACAGUGAGAACAAUUUAUGAAAACCCUGUUAUUUGUGAUACGAAGAACACGUGGAUUCGUGCUCAAAGCUGACCAUGGUCCUUCUUAGUUUUUCUUCAGCAGACAACAGCAGCCUUCUUAUUUUUCUAAUUGUUAGAAGAAUAUAAAAAAACAUUGCCAGAAAUAAAAAGCAGACUAGUGGAACUGAAACUGCCUUUGUGAUUCCCACACCUCUUAAAUUGUCGUAUUCUGAUUUGUCCACACCUCUUUCAGAAACAAUGGUAUCAUCAUUCUUGGCAAAGAAUGCUUCCUUCCUUAGUCACAGGUGUGAAGACAGGGCUUCCACUUGGAUGGAAAAAUAAGGAAGUUGUUUUCUCAGUUGAUAUAGUGUCCAUUUUUGGAAUCCCCAAAAAGCAUUACACUUGCUAAAAGAGAAGGAAAAAUAAUAUAGGGAUUUCAGUUAGAUUUAUUAAUUUUAAAAUGGGAGGAAGUGCCCCUUGCAAGUAUCUGGAACUCACAUUGUUUACCAUGAGCAAAAAUAGAAUAUUCGUUAUCUCCUUUGCACUUGUGCAUUUAACAGGCAUUGCACAGUUUGUGCCUGUUGCCCCUUGUCCUGUCACUAGGCAUCACCAAGCCUGGCCUAUCCAUCUGGCUCUUGCUCAUUAGAUAUUUAUACGUUUUGAUAAGAUCUCCCCUCUUCUUCUUAUCUGUCUCAACAGUUCCAGGUCUUUCACCCUUACCUAGUAAGAGGGAUGCUCCCGGUCCCUAAUUACCUUUGUGGCCCCCCACUGGGCUCUCUUUAGAAGUUUCCCGUCUUUCUUUAACUGAGGAGCCCAGAACUGCACACAGUACUACAGAUGUGGACUCACAAGGGCAGAGUAGAGAGAGAGGAUCACAUCUCAACAUACUGCCCAUGCAAUUUCUAAUGCUGAAGUAAUUCUAAUUCUGUGAAAAAAUUCCACUUCUGUUAUUAUUAUGUUAUUAUUAUUAUUUAUCAUUUUUUCAGAAGUAAGUAGUAUGUAUUUACUUAGAAACUUAUUACUAGUAUUUUAUGUGAUAACCAAACCAUAUACAUAUUUCACUGUUAAUAAGACUAAAAGCAGAUGUUGAAGUAUCUAGUAUGGAUAUAAUUCUCCAAAUUCAUUUCACAACGAGAGAACUUAUUUAAUCCCUUCACAUUUUCUGGAAAUCAGCUCUCACUAACCUUGGCUACUUUGCAUUUCACAGCAGCAUAGAUGAGUGCUGGACCUACUAUGCUUUGAAAAAUGUGUGUGCACGUGUGUUUUGCUUUUAAUCUACAAUUUGAAAGGACGAUUGUAUUAAUCUUUUGUACAUUAAUUUAUCUGGAGUGUCUGUUCUUUCUGAGACAGAAUGUACUCUGAUUACAAAUACUACUUCUAUUGCUGGAAUUUACAGCCUGGUUUACAAGAAGCAGCAUUGUUAUGUUAUGUUAGACAUAAGUAGUAUUUAAUGGAAUAAUGUAAGGGUUAACAUACAAGUUCAUGCUGGUUUAAUAUUAAAAAUUAAUUAGAUUCCUGUUG